rnacentral:rRNA from 1 species
AUUGAACGCUGGCGGCUGGCCUAACACAUGCAAGUCGAACGAGUGGCGGACGGGUGAGUAAUGUCUGGGAAACUGCCCGAUGGAGGGUGAUGACUACUGGAAACGGUAGCUAAUACCGCAUACCAUCGGAUGUGCCCAGAUGGGAUUAGCUAGUAGGUGGGGUAACGGCGCACCUGGGCGACGAUCCCUAGCUGGUCGGAGAGGAUGAACAGCCACACUGGAACGGAGACACGGUCAAGACUCCUACGGGAGGCAGAAGUGGGGAAUAUUGGACAAUGGGCGCAAGCCGGAUGCAGCCAUGCCGCGUGUAUGAAGAAGGCCUUCGGGUUGUAAAGUACUUUCAGCGAGGAGGCGUUACUCGCAGAAGAAGCACCGGCUAACUCCGUGCCAGCAGCCGCGGUAAUUC